UGGGGAAUUUUGGACAAUGGGCGAAAGCCUGAUCCAGCCAUGCCGCGUGCAGGAUGAAGGCCUUCGGGUUGUAAACUGCUUUUGUACGGAACGAAAAGACUCUGGUUAAUACCUGGGGUCCAUGACGGUACCGUAAGAAUAAGCACCGGCUAACUACGUGCCAGCAGCCGCGGUAAUACGUAGGGUGCAAGCGUUAAUCGGAAUUACUGGGCGUAAAGCGUGCGCAGGCGGUUAUAUAAGACAGAUGUGAAAUCCCCGGGCUCAACCUGGGAACUGCAUUUGUGACUGUAUAGCUAGAGUACGGCAGAGGGGGAUGGAAUUCCGCGUGUAGCAGUGAAAUGCGUAGAUAUGCGGAGGAACACCGAUGGCGAAGGCAAUCCCCUGGGCCUGUACUGACGCUCAUGCACGAAAGCGUGGGGGAGCAAACAGGAUUUAGAUACCCUGGUAGUCCACGCCCUAAACGAUGUCAACUGGUUGUUGGGUCUUCACUGACUCAGUAACGAAGCUAACGCGUGAAGUUGACCGCCUGGGGGUAGUA
rnacentral:rRNA from 1 species